UACGGAGGGGGCGAGCGUUAUUCGGAUUUACUGGGCGUAAAGGGUGCGUAGGCGGCCGCGCAAGUCUGGUGUGAAAUCUUCACCGCUCAACGGGAAGAGGUCACUGGAAACUGCGCGGCUCGAGUAUGGUAGAGGCAAGCGGAAUUCCUGGUGUAGCGGUGGAAUGUGUAGAUAUCAGGAAGAACACCCGUGGCGAAGGCGGCUUGCUGGGCCACUACUGACGCUGAGGCACGAAAGCGUGGGGAGCAAACGGGAUUAGAUACCCCCGUAGU
rnacentral:rRNA from 1 species